CCUCCUUCCCUAGCUAAGCGCUGCCCUCACACACCACCUCCUCCAGAAUGGCAACAGCCCUGUUUGUGUGCUGUUCCUGCCUACCAGGCACUGUGUAAGAGCAUCAGCCUCUUUCAUCCCCAUGGCAACCCUGUGAGUAGAUCAAGGCCACUACAGCAGCAACAAUGGCCGCUACAGCAAUCCCAGUGACCACAGCCACAAUGAUCCCCAUCGGUGAAGAGCUGGGCGCUAGGGAAGACAGACAUCAGGACAAGCAGUACUCUCCGUGUCCCACCUCACCCCAUCCAAUGCUAUGUCCUAGUGUUUGUCACCCGAAGCUCUUCUGUGUCUGAGUCACUCACUUCUGCAGCACUCACUACAUCCCCAGCCUCAUCUGCCAGGGUUUCUGUGGCUGGACUUAUGCCUCCUGCCUACCGAGGUUUCUCCACCAAACUAAUAAAGGCACAUUGGUGAGCAGGCAGGAGCAGAGGGAAGGGCUCCCCUUAGCCCUCAGGGGCAGUGGGAAGGGUGGGCCCAAAGCCUCCCAUAGCUGGAGGCAUCAUUACUCUAUGGAGCACAGCCUUGAACAGUCCAUGACGUGCCAGGCUUUCUGGAGUGAAUGGCUAUAACAUGAGCCAUGAGAAGAAUAAAGGCAAACCUCAGUUCUUAGGAAUGCCCAGGAGCUUAGGGAACCUCUGCACCAACGAGGGAGCUCUGCUUCGCUGCCAUCCUUAGUCUGGGGCCUGCAUUUCAAAGUGGAACAACAGCCUGGCCACC
rnacentral:antisense_RNA from 1 species